CAAAUGUAAGUGAUGUUCAAAGUCUCUGAGGUGCCCCCAGGUCUUGUCAGUCCUUCCUUCCUUUCUUCCUUGUUGAAGGAAGAAGCUGAGGCAGAAUUGAUGUAGAGACUGUGCGUGGGCUAAAGUUGAGGACAGCAAGACACACUUCCACAUUGCCUUGCACGAAGGCAGCUUUGACAUUGCGAGACAAUGAACACACAAACAGAAAACAGCCAGACCAAAUAUGGGAAGAGAACUCUGAGCCACAGCGACUGUCCAGAGGCCAAACCUCAACUUUCACGGCUAGCCAGAAGCUUUCUGCCCAGGCUUUUCCCCGGCUCUGCCCCCGCCUGCUGAGGAAUCUCGGUCAACACAAGAGAGGACGGCGACUCCCUUGUACAGCAAGUCCUGAAUAAAUCGUCUUUUGUUCUCAUUUGCGUGGGCUUUAUUUCCACAGCUGUUAUCCUCCUAUUUGUAAAACGGAGGCACCUGGGACCAGCUCCAGCAAGGAGAGUGAGGAUCCGACUCCAGGAAGCACCUCAGGAACAAAGGCCUCAAGGCCAACACCUUCCACGGCACAAGCCCAACAGAGCUGCAGGAACCGUACAAGCAGCGGGAACAUCCCUUUCUCUUCUUGACUAUGUUUUCCCCUGAUGCUUUGCUUUCCACAUAGAAGAGUUUUCCAUUUUCGUGGGGUCAACUCUGCCUUCACUCAUUCAACAAUGAUGGGGGGCUCUGCCCCGCUCCCCCCAGGCUUCAACCACACCUGACUGCCCACCCCUUUGGGCCCUUCCCUGAAGUGACAGACCAGGCUGUGCCCUGGCAGGUAAGAGAAAGGACCCCACAACCCAUUCAUGGGCCGCUCCAGCUGGGGCCUUGCAUGCAGGAGCGGACCAGUCCCCCUGAGGGACAGCCCUUGGGUGGGGGCUCUGGGUCAUUUUGAGGAGUCAAUCACACCAACAGGUGCCUAGCACAGGCCCCACCCCCACCCCAAAUAAGGCAAGCGACCCUUCCCUUCCGCAGGUGGUCCAGUCUAACAGAAACCCUAAACCAAAGGGACUGUGUGGUGGCUCAAGCCUGUCAUCCCAGCACUUUGGGGGAUGGAUCGAUUUUAGCCUAGGAGUUCAAGACCAGCCUGGGCAAUAUAGUGAGACUCCAUCUCUACAAAAACACUUUUUAAAAAAAUUAGGGGUGCAGUGGUUUAUGCCAAUAAUCCCAGCACUUUGGGAGGCCGAGGUGGACAGAUCGCUCAGAAGUUCCAGACCAGCCUGGGUAACAUGGUGAAACUCUCUGUCUCUAUAUAUGUGUGUGGUAGGGUGGGCCUGUGGUCCCAGCUACUAUAGCAGCUGAGGUGGGAAGAUCGCUUGAGCCCAGGAGGUCCAGGCUGCAAUGAGUUGUGAUCAGGCCACUGCACCCCAGCCUGGCCAACAGAGCAAGACUCUGUCAAAAAAAAAAAAAAGAAAGAAAGAAAAGAGGUCAGGUACGGUGGCUCACGCCUGUAAUUCCAGCACUUUGGGAGCCCGAGGCAGGUGGAUCACGAGGUCAGGAGUUCGAGACCAGCCUGGCCAAUAUGGUGAAACCCCGUCUCUACUAAAAACACAAAAAUUAGCUGCGCAUGAAGGCGCGCGCCUGUAGUCCCAGCUACUCGGGAGGCCGAGGCAGGAGAAUGGUGUGAACCCCGGAGGCGGAGCUUGCAGUGAGCCGAGAUUGCGCCACUGCACUCCAGCCUAGGCGACAGAUCCAGACUCCGUCUCAAAA
rnacentral:lncRNA from 10 species